UCGCUUUAGAUCGUCAUCGAAGCCUACGACGGGUGUGAGAAGCACGAGCAAGUCCUUUGUCUUCUUUCAUAACUGGACUGCUGCAUAUUGCCAGGUACCUCCUAACCACCAUGAAAGCCUACGUGCUCUUGGCCCUGGUCAUCUGCGGAUACAUCUGCCAAAUUCAAGCCGCUACAUUGAGCAAGCCG
rnacentral:lncRNA from 1 species